rnacentral:tRNA from 2 species
GGUCGGAUGUCCGAGUGGCUAGGAGCUGGUCUGCAAAACCAUUUACAGCGGUUCGAAUCCGCUUCCGACCU